GGGGCAGCAUGGCUCAGGAGGUAGCGCAGGCGGCCUAGGAAUCUGAGGGUUCCGGGUUCGAUCCCCGGCUCCUCCA